rnacentral:misc_RNA from 1 species
UCCAAAUCUGGUGGUAUGUCAAAUGAGCUAUACAAUACAAUUGCCCGUGUGACAGAUGGCAUAUAUGAAGGUAUUGCAAUUGGAGGAGAUGUGUUUCCAGGCUCCACUCUUUCUGAUCAUGUUUUGCGGUUUAACAAUAUCCCACAGGUUAAGAUGAUGGUUGUACUUGGGGAACUUGGUGGACGAGAUGAGUAUUCCCUUGUUGAAGCCCUCAAACAGGGAAAGGUUACCAAACCAGUAGUUGCUUGGGUCAGUGGAACAUGUGC